AUCCGGCUGACGAGUCCCAAAUAGGACUAAACGCGCGUCCUUGAU
rfam:Schistosoma mattheei strain Denwood, Zambia genome assembly, scaffold: SMTD_scaffold0019883